rnacentral:rRNA from 1 species
AUUGAACGCUGGCGGCAUGCCUUACACAUGCAAGUCGAACGGUAACGCGGGGCAACCUGGCGACGAGUGGCGAACGGGUGAGUAAUGUAUCGGAACGUGCCCAGUUGUGGGGGAUAACUGCUCGAAAGAGCAGCUAAUACCGCAUACGACCUGAGGGUGAAAGCGGGGGAUCGCAAGACCUCGCGCAAUUGGACCGGCCGAUAUCAGAUUAGGUAGUUGGUGGGGUAAAGGCUCACCAAGCCAACGAACUGUAGCUGGUCUGAGAGGACGACCAGCCACACUGGGACUGAGACACGGCCCAGACUCCUACGGGAGGCAGCAGUGGGGAAUUCUGGACAAUGGACGCAAGUCUGAUCCAGCCAUGCCGCGUGCGGGAAGAAGGCCUUCGGGUUGUAAACCGCUUUUGUCAGGGAAGAAACGCUCUGGGUUAAUACCUCGGGGUAAUGAUGGUACCUGAAGAAUAAGCACCGGCUAACUACGUGCCAGCCGCCGCAGUAAUAC